rnacentral:lncRNA from 1 species
AUAUAGUUUUAAUUUCUCAAAAUCUAUAAAUAAAAUACUAUAUCACAUAUAAAUUUGAAUAACAUAUGUCAGAGUACCUAAACUUAACAUAUAAAUUGGUUUGAUUUGAAUAUUUUGAUAGAGAAUCAGUAGACAUUUCAACUAUUUUUGGUGUUUUGAGUAUAUUUUAGCUAUUUUAGAAAUUUACUUUUGAAUAUUUGUAUAUAUUUUCAAGUAUUUUAGACAACUUAAAAGUAUCUUAUAUAUUUUGAAUGUUUUUAAUAUACAUUGAAUCUAAAAAUAAUUAAUAUAUUUAGAUAUAUAAAUCUAUUUCAGAUACAUUCGAGUACCCGAAAUACUUCGGUUCGGGUCGGGUUCGGUUUCGGUUCUCUGGAUACCAAAAUUUUGAACCCGUUCGGAUAUUUAAUCAAUUUCGGUUCGGGUUCGGUACUACUUUUUCGGAUCGGGUUCGGUUCGGUUCUCAGGAUUCGAGUUUUUUGCCGAGCCCUGAUCUCAACCAGUUUAAAUGACGACGUUUCCUUCUCAUCGUCACGUGAUGAGAAAAAUGGGAAAAUAUAUUAAAAAAACUUAAAAAGACAAAGAAGGGAGUUAAUGGGCUUAUUAAGUAGGGCCUAGUUAUUAAAUGGCCCGUAUAAAAGAUUGUCUGUGUCCUUUCCAAAAGAGACAAAUCUGCCCCUUCUAUUUUGGCUUCAAUCUAAUAGUCAACGCUCCUUUUCUUGUCUUUGUCGACACUCACUCUUCUUGUAGUCCUUCUGCUGUGCUUCAGGGUCCCCACGUUCUGUUUUCUUUACCUUUGGUUUUGCAAACCUCUCUGACUUUACCCUUAUCUUCUCUCUUGUAAUAAAAGAAGACUGUCGUUUUUAGCUUCUGAAAAUCGUUGAUAUGGUAAUAAGCUCGAAUAUGUGGAAAUAAUUCGGAUUUUCUUACAGUUUUAGUUGUUAACAAUGGCUAAUCACAAAUAAAUCGUAGUUGAAACGUUCGAAUAUCACACUUAGAUCUUUAUUAG